AUUGAACGCUGGCGGCAGGCCUAACACAUGCAAGUCGAGCGGAUCGGCGGACGGGUGAGGAAUGCCUAGGAAUCUGCCUGGGAGUGGGGGAUGACGUCAGGAAACGGACACUAAUACCACAUCCUAUCAGCUGAGCCUAGGUCGGAUUAGCUAGUUGGUGGGGUAAAGGCCUACAAAGGCGACGAUCCGUAACUGGUCUGAGAGGAUGAUCAGUCACACUGGAACUGAGACACGGUCCAGACUCCUACGGGAGGCAGCAGUGGGGAAUAUUGGACAAUGGGCGAAAGCCUGAUCCAGCCAUGCCGCGUGUGUGAAGAAGGUCUUCGGAUUGUAAAGCACUUUAAUCUGGGAGGCGUUACCAACAGAAUAAGCACCGGCUAACUUCGUGCCAGCAGCCGCGGUAAUUC
rnacentral:rRNA from 1 species